UACGUAGGGUGCGAGCGUUGUCCGGAAUUACUGGGCGUAAAGAGCUCGUAGGUGGUUUGUCGCGUUGUCCGUGAAAACUCACAACUCAAUUGUGGGCGUGCGGGCGAUACGGGCAGACUUGAGUACGGUAGGGGAGACUGGAAUUCCUGGUGUAGCGGUGAAAUGCGCAGAUAUCAGGAGGAACACCAAUGGCGAAGGCAGCACUCUGGGACGUGACUGACGCUGAGGUGCGAAAGCGUGGGGAGCAAACAGG
rnacentral:rRNA from 1 species